UACGUAGGGUGCAAGCGUUGUCCGGAAUUAUUGGGCGUAAAGAGCUCGUAGGCGGUCUGUCGCGUCGGAUGUGAAAAUCCAGGGCUCAACCCUGGACCUGCAUUCGAUACGGGCAGACUAGAGUUCGGCAGGGGAGACUGGAAUUCCUGGUGUAGCGGUGAAAUGCGCAGAUAUCGGGAGGAACACCGGUGGCGAAGGCGGUUCUCUGGGCCUUACCUGACGCUGAGGAGCGAAAGCGUGGGGAGCGAACAGG
rnacentral:rRNA from 1 species